CCUCCUCGUUCAGCGGCUUGACGGAUUCGGCAUUGAAGCCCAUGAGGCGCAUCUUGGUCCGCAUCUCCAUCCAGUGGUACACUGCCGGGGGAGAGAGGGGUCAGGGAUCUUUGCUGGGGACUGCAAGCCCAGUCCCUCGACGCCUCGGCGUCUGGAUCAGAGCAGUGGGGACGCGGCAGCCAGAAUCGCGGGCGCUGGGGACUGGGCGCCAUAACCAAGACCCGCAUCGGGCCUGACACGCGGAAUGCCGAAUUAAUUACUGGGCCAGGGGUAGCCCGGAGGGCAUCUUUUGAAAACGUCCAGAAAAUUCUGGUGAGCCGCCAGGGAUGAGAAGGACUGCCCUAGAGGGGAGGUCCAGUGUGGGGACCGCACCUCUAGAGGGGAGGGUCACAAUCCAGGGCAGGUGUAAAGCUUGCUCCCUCGCCCCUCUCACAGCCGACCAGCCAGGCCCGGUCCUCAAGUGCGUUCACUGUGGGGUUUGGGGCUUUGGAAGGAGCACAGGGCUGGAGCGCUGCUGCUCUGAUGCCAACUCCUUCUUUACCUAAUCACUUAUUCAUGAGAACAAGGAUUAUCAGCAUUGUUUGUCAUCGUUUGUAGGCACAGCAUAAACAUAGAGCUGAGGGUGAAACCUGAUUCACUGCAGUAAUAAUUAAUAUUCAUCCACUGAUACACGAACUGAUGGGAAAAAUCUGCCUCCUUGGGCUCAUUAAGGGGUGAAUUUCUGAAAACAUUUGAUACUUGACCCCUUCCAACCGUCCUCCACAACAGCUGGGCUGACGGAAGUACCUUCCUUUAAGUUAGAAGAGUAACAGAUACACCUGGGGGGAUUACUUAGACUACACAGAGGUGGGUAUACUGAGAGACAGACGUCCAUCUUUCCACCUCCAGCUUUAGUCCUAUUUCUCAAAGCUUAACCACUUUUGAUCUUUUUUCUGUUAAUAUUUGUUAAACAAAACACUAAAAGGACUAGCAAUAAAGAAAAAGUUUGACAUGCUGGAAUACACUGAAAUUGAGAACUUCCAUUCCUCAAAAGAUCCCAGCAAGAGAAGGAAAAGGCAAGUUCUGGACUGUGGGGAGCCAUUUGCAACACACCUAUCUGACCAAAAAAACUCAGAUUCAGGAUAUGCAAAGACUUCCUGGGUCAAUAAGAGAACAGCAGACCUCCCAAUGAGAAGGACGUGAAUCCCCUAAGAGGAUAAAAUCUACAAGGCCACUAGACUUGUGAAGAGGUGCUGGCCUCUGCUACAUAUCAGGAAACUACUAAUUAAAGUCACAAAGAGAAAGCACCAUAAACUCACCAGAAUGGCUGAAAUAAACAACCCACACAUGCUAAGUGCUGGCAAAGAUGUAGUUGGAUCAGACUCAGAAAAGGUAAUUAAGAACACCCACUCCGGAAGGUGGUUGGCAGCGCCUACUGAACAUAACAUUCGAUGCUUUAUGAGCUGGCAAUUCUGCUCCUGGGAGGACACCCACAGAAACCUGUCACAGGUUCUCCAAAAGACAUGUCCUGGCAUAUUCACCCCAGUGAUAUGAAUAAAAGACUCACCACAACCCAAAUGCCCAUCAAUAGUAGGAUUGGUUUAAAAAAAAAAAAAAAGAUGCACACAGUGAAACACUCAACAGCAGUGAGAACAAAUGAACCCCAACUACAUUCAACAAGUUGAAUGAAUCUCACAAUGUUGGGUGAAAGAGGCCAAACAAGGGCACAUGCUGUGUGAUUCAAUGUAUAUAUAAAGUCCCCAAACAGGCAAAUUCAAUCCGUGGGGUUACAAGUCAGGAUGGUGGUUACCCCUGGGGGGCACAAUGACCAGAAGGGGUGCAUGGUAGGGUUUCUGGGGGACUGGUUAUGUUCUGUCUCCUGUUCAUUCUGUGAGAGCUUAUCAAACUGUACACUUAGGAUUUGUACACUUUCUUUAUGUACAUUGUUCUUCAGUUAAAAGUUUUUAAGCGCGUACCUAAUGAGCAUACGGUCCUGGGUUUGUUCAAUCCCCAACACCUCCAUUAAAAAUAAGUAAAUAAAAAAACUCCAGUUACCUCCCCCAAAAUAAAAUAAAUACAUAUAUACAAUUUUUAGGGAGAAGGUAUAGCUCAAGUGGUAGAGUGCAGGCUUAGUAUCCACAAGGUCCUGAGUUCAAUACCCAGAACUUCCUCUAAAAAUAAAUAAAUAAACCAACUACCUACCCCCCCCCCAAAUUGUGAAGUUGGCUAAUUUAAAAUCACAACCCUCUACAUCUUGUAUGGGUCUUUCAGAGUGGCCCGAUCUGAGUCAUCUCAUUAGCAAUAACAGAUACACCUACCAUUAGGAAUGAAGAAUUUUGACAAAAAAAAAAAAAAAAAAGAAUUUUGACAGUGCCUUAGAAAUUGUGAAAACGCCUAGAUGUAUUCUUAACCAAUAAAGGAGUUACUUGAGACAUCAGCAUCUAGCGCUCAUUGGUGACUGACUCUGAAGAUGGUAGUCAGUUUCAAUCUCCUACCUGUCCAGUCUUCCGCAAGUGCUGCGGGCCUCCAGGACAUGCGCCAAUGCAAGCCGGAACCCAGGACCAGUGCCAGUUGGAAGUCCCGAUUUCUUCUCUUAUCAAGUACAGGGCUUGCCUCACCCUCCUCCUCUGGCCCAGCUCCCCAACCCUCACGUCUCUCUCUCCUGCAGCUCUCUUCCUCCUGCUGUUCCCACUCGUGCCCGGAUGGCCCCAAGCUUCCAAAGGUUCUGAGAUGGCCUCUGGAGGAUCCCCCAUGCCAGCCCCUUGCGCUGAAUGUGGGUGCUGGGGGUGGCGGAGUGCCAGAAAUGGGGCGUCUGCUGAGCUGGGAAGAAGGGCAGUGAUCGGCCAAGUCAAGAGCCAAAGUUGAGUACCACCCCCCACAUACCCAGCUGGGGAGAUGUUGUAUUAUCCCUUAUUUUUUUUUCUUGGGGCAGUGUGGGGAGAGGUAAUUAGGUUUGUUUGUUUAUUAGAGGAGGUAAUGGAAUUGAACCCAGGACCUCGUGUGAUGCUCUGCCAUUGAGCUAUACUCUCCCCCCAUCCCUUAUUUCAACCUCACUACCUGACAGCCAGAUUCUGUCUGGGUGUUAUGCCCGUGAAGCAGACAGUCCCAUUUUAGAGAUGGACAAAGUGUGGCUCAGAGGGGCACAGUUACUUACCUGAGGUGAGGGGGAGAGUGGGGCUUAAACCCUGACCCAGUGAUGUGAGUUUCAGCCCUAAAAUCAGGUAAGUGCAGCCAUGGCAUGAGGGACAGAAUGCGGGAAAGGAGCCAUAGGAGGCACGAUCAGCUGAGGACUCUUCUGAUGUGAGGAAGGUGGUGAGGAAUGUAGUGCCACAAUUCACCUGAGAUGAUGUGAGGCAAGAACAGCUGGGUGUGGACCUGUAUCUCCUUGCCCCUGAAGCUUUGCUAGCCUCCCUGCCCCACCCACCAACCUUGGACAUUGUAUGUUUGUUGAAAGAUGCUGACCUCAUGCCUACCCAGCCCAACCUGCUCUCCCUCGGGUGACAUUUGGGGCUGGUGCUCCUCACACCCUUAGUGACCCCACCCAGCAUCAGCCUGAUCCUUUGGUCAGGCUGAUGUGUGGACGGGGCCACCUCGCUGUCCAGUUCUCUUUCUGGAGCCUGAGUGAGGCCGAUCAUCAUCUUGUGUGACCACUGGCUAUCUGCACUUCAUCGGCUGUGACUGGGGUGCCCAAAGUGAGUGGCUGGCAACCUUGCCCACAGGAUAGGAGCUCACUGAGGGCCUGAGAGCUUGACCCCCUGCGCCAAGAAGAAGGCUGAUGAGAAGAAGGCAGCCAGAGCAGAGGGGCAUGACUGCUUUGGGGACAGAGGCCAACUGGCCAUCGGACUUAAGUGCUGGGUAAAAGAUGAAUGGAUGCAGGGAAAUACAAAUCAAAACCACAGCGAGAUAGCACGUCCAUCCAUUAGGGGAUGGCUAGAAUCAAAGAGUCAUAUAACAACUGUUAGCAGGAUGUGGAGGAAUCAGCACUCUGAUAUAGCUGAUGGGAAUGGAAAAUGGUACAAUGUCCGGAACAGGCAGAUCUAGAGACGGCAAGUAGAUUGGUGGUUCCCCGGGGUUGGGGCUGCGGGGAGGUCGAAGAAAAUGGAGAGCAAAUGCCAGUGGACUGGGGGUUUCCUUUUAGAACAUGUUCUAAAAUUAAUUGUGGGGAUGAUGGCACAACCCCACAAAAGUACUAAAAACCAUUGACUCAUAUGCUUUAAAUGGGUGAAUUGUACGGUAUGUGAAUUCUAUGCCAAUGAUAGUCUUAAAGUUAAAAAAAAAUGAACGGAUGCAAGAGAGAUAAGGUACGGGGGAAGGGCAAGUGCCUAGGCCCUCCUGCUGAGCCCUGUCUGGCCCUCAGGGGAGGUGCUGGUGGUGAGAAAGGAGAAGUGGCAGCUCUGUGGCAGCGUGGCGCUGGACCCCAAGGAUGGAAAGUGGAGCUGCUGCAAAGGUUUCUACCCUUUCCACCGCCCCACACAGAGGUGCUGCCAAACCUGGGGGAAGUUCAUCAUCAUCCCCAUGGACCCAGAGAAGUCAGAGGCUGAAGACUGCAGGACAUACACCCAGAAAACUCUAGGUGUUCCAGAACAGGAAAGGACAAGAAUAAUCUCCUAAGAAGCAGAACCACAGUGCCAGCUGGUGCCUGCCCAGGCCCUGUGACCCUCCAAGACUUCCUAGCCCCUAGGCAUCGGCAGCAUCCACCUGCUCCUCUUCAGAAGAUAAACGCCCGAUAGAUGUUUGAGUAGCAAAACUAACGGCCCCGGGAAAUCCCUGAAUUCACUGUAGCUCUGGCUGACUUCUCUCAGUCCAUGUUUCCCGUGUCCCUUUGUGUUCACGGUCCCUUCUUCAAUAAAAAACCCUGCACGUUCACACUCGGGCACUCACACAGGCACCUAUUCUCUGUUUGACUCACUGUUCCCUAAAGCAGGGAACCUAUUAAAAGCUUUCCUUUGUUCUUCAAUUUCUCUUGGUUUCUGA